UACGGAGGGGGCUAGCGUUGUUCGGAAUUACUGGGCGUAAAGCGCACGUAGGCGGCUUGGUAAGUCAGGGGUGAAAUCCCGGAGCUCAACUCCGGAACUGCCUUUGAGACUGCUUGGCUUGAAUCCGGGAGAGGUGAGUGGAAUUCCGAGUGUAGAGGUGAAAUUCGUAGAUAUUCGGAAGAACACCAGUGGCGAAGGCGGCUCACUGGACCGGCAUUGACGCUGAGGUG
rnacentral:rRNA from 1 species